rnacentral:rRNA from 1 species
CCUACGGGAGGCAGCAGUGGGGAAUAUUGCACAAUGGGGGAAACCCUGAUGCAGCAACGCCGCGUGGGUGAAGAAGUAUUUCGGUAUGUAAAGCCCUAUCAGCAGGGAAGAGAAUGACGGUACCUGACUACGAAGCCCCGGCUAACUACGUGCCAGCAGCCGCGGUAAUACGUAGGGGGCAAGCGUUAUCCGGAUUUACUGGGUGUAAAGGGAGCGUAGACGGUUGGGCAAGUCUGAAGUGAAAGCCCGCGGCUCAACUGGGGAACGGCUGUGGAGACUGUGUGACUGGAGUGCUGGAGAGGGAGGCGGAAGUCCGGGUGUAGCGGUGAAAUGCGUAGAGAUCAGGAAGAACACCGACGGCGAAGGCAGCUUACUGGACAGCAACUGACGCUGAGGCUCGAAAGCGUGGGGAGCAAACAGGAGUAGAUACCCCAGUAGUC